rnacentral:rRNA from 1 species
AGCGCAGGUGGAUCGGUAAGUGGAAAGUGGAAUUCCGGGGCUCAACCUCGGAAGUGCUUUCCAAACUGUCGGUCUUGAGUACGUGAGAGGAAGGCGGAAUUCAGGGUGUAGCGGUGAAAUGCUUAGAUAUCCUGAGGAACACCAAUGGCGAAAGCAGCCUUCUGGCACGAAACUGACACUGAGGCUCGAAAGCGUGGGGAGCGAACAGGAUUAGAUACCCUGGUAGUCC